GAGCACUCAGUAAGAAAGGAUAGCUUUUCUCCCUUUUCUGCUUCGCUCCCAACUAAGAAUGCAGAGUCAGGGAGAUGGCGCAGAGACAAUGCUGCUGUCCAUUGAAGCCCUCCAAAGGUCGGAGAUUCGAUCACAGGACAGCCUGGCCUGGACCAAGUCAGGUUGAUAUGGCUAGGCGGCCUGCUGGCGAGAUAGUGGGAGUGGGCGGUCCGCCCCUCAGGACCUCUGAUUUGGACAGAUGACUGGAUGACUCUCUGGGGCAGCAUUCACCGGAACUCAUAUGGAGGGGACUGCCUGAGAAACCAACCUGUGUGCCUGGGUCAGGUUGAUAUGGCUAGGCGGCCUGCUGGCGAGAUAGUGGGAGUGGGCGGUCCGCCCCUCAGGACCUCUGACUUGGACAGAUGACUGGAUGACUCUCUGGGGCAGCAUUCACCGGAACUCAUAUGGAGGGGGCUGCCUGAGAAACCAACCUGUGUGCCUGGGUCAGGUUGAUAUGGCUAGGCGGCCUGCUGGCGAGAUAGUGGGAGUGGGCGGUCCGCCCCUCAGGACCUCUGACUUGGACAGAUGACUGGAUGACUCUCUGGGGCAGCAUUCACCGGAACUCAUAUGGAGGGGGCUGCCUGAGAAACCAACCUGUGUGCCUGGCCCACCACCUACCAGAGGUAUUGGAAAAGAACGGAUACGGAGGAAGUGGACCCAUUUAGAGGUGAUUAUUUGGAGCAAAUCCCAUCUGCUUUGUCAGUUAUUGAGCAGUUCCGUUCAUAGGCUGGCAAUGGCAGCUUGAUCCACUCUCAAAGUCUUCAUGGAUACACCAGCAGUCCGUUCAGUAAAGUCCAGAUAGCAGCAGUUGCACGACCUAGCAGGAACAACCAGGCCUCAGCUGAAGACAGUAGUCUACAGGAGGCAUUGGACUAGCAUGAAUGUCAGGAGAAACUUACAGCUGUGCCUCUCUUAAGGAAGUGAAGAUCAGUGAAGACAGGAGACCAAAAGGCGUUUAGCUGUGCAAGCAAGCCAAGCCCUUCUCCCAGUCCCUCCAAACAUCACUAGUCCUCCACAGGACUUGUCUCACCAUGUGUUGCCUCAGCAAAACUCACCUUUACAAACACAGCUUUGAAGGCCAGUUUUUUGAGUUAAUAAUGUAAACAAAUGUUAUUCUACGACAAACGUAGAAUUCAAGAGAAAAAUGGAGUAAUGAGUAAACCAGACAUUAAAAAAGAUUCUAUAAA
rnacentral:lncRNA from 1 species